UACAGAGACUGCAAGCGUUAUUCGGAUUCACUGGGCGUAAAGGGUGCGCAGGCGGCCGCGCAAGUCGAGUGUGAAAGCCCCGAGCUUAACUUGGGAAUUGCGCUCGAAACUACGUGGCUGGAGUGUGGCAGAGGAAGGUGGAAUUCCACGUGUAGCGGUGAAAUGCGUAGAGAUGUGGAGGAACACCGAUGGCGAAGGCAGCCUUCUGGGCCAACACUGACGCUCAUGCACGAAAGCGUGGGGAGCAAACAGG
rnacentral:rRNA from 1 species